GUCUUGGGUUGUGACUUGGGUACCACAUGC
rnacentral:piRNA from 1 species